rnacentral:rRNA from 1 species
CCCCUAGAUGUUCUGGGCCGCACGCGCGCUACACUGAACAGUUCAACAAGUCUUAACCUUGGCCGAUAGGUCUGGGUAAUCUUUGAACGCUGUUCGUGAUUGGGAUAGACCUUUGCAAUUAUGGGUCUUCAACGAGGAAUUCCUAGUAAACGCAAGUCAUCAGCUUGCAUUGAUUACGUCCCUGCCCUUCGUACACACCGCCCGUCGCACCUACCGAUUGAAUGGUCCGGUGAAAUCUCGGGACGGCGGCUUGGUCGCUUGCGUCCGACUGCUGAAACUUGAUUAAACCAUAUCAUUUAGAGGAAGGUGAANUCGUANCA